AAGUCGUAACAAGGUUUCCGUAGGUGAACCUGCGGAAGGAUCAUUAAAGAGAGAGGGUCUCCAGGCCCAAACCACCCCCUUCGUCAAGCAAACCUAGCCUUGCCUUUGUUGGGUGGACCGCCCAUCAGAGGACCUUGAAACCCCGUCAUCUGUGGAGUCUGAGCAUGAUACAAUAGUUAAAA
rnacentral:misc_RNA from 1 species